rnacentral:rRNA from 1 species
UACGUGAGGGGGCAAGCGUUGUCCGGAUUUAUUGGGCGUAAAGAGCGUGUAGGCGGCCAGAUAGGUCUGCUGUGAAAACUCGAGGCUCAACCUCGAGAUGUCGGCGGAAACCAUUUGGCUAGAGUCCGGAAGAGGAAAGUGGAAUUCCUGGUGUAGCGGUGAAAUGCGCAGAUAUCAGGAAGAACACCCGUGGCGAAGGCGGCUUUCUGGGACGGUACUGACGCUGAGACGCGAAAGCGUGGGGAGCGAACAGG